rnacentral:lncRNA from 1 species
CUCUUUUCUUCUUUAUUAGUCUUGCUAGUGGUCUAUCAAUUUUGUUGAUCUUUUCAAAAAACCAGCUCCUGGAUUCAUUAAUUUUUUGAAGGGUUUUUUUGUGUCUGUAAUUAUUUUUAAUUUGGGCUUCACUUCCCAGUCCAGUGAGAUGUGCUCUGCUACUUUCAUACUUUCUUAACCCUAUUAAUGUAGCCACAAAUUGUAGCUCUUUGGAUAUAUAAUUUAUUGCUGAACAUUCAAGUUUAAAGUUUUAAAAAUUUUCCUUGACCAGGGAUUGUGCAGCAUUGAUCAUAAUCAGCAUGAUCAUUAUUUGCAGUAGUUAAUACAUAGAAAACACUCUUUUUUUUGUUGAGUCAAUGAAUGCAUGUAUGAAUCAGAAGAAACAAAAUAGUAGUUUCUAUAUCUGCUAAGAAAGCAAAAUAAUGUAACAUACUAUCACUAUACUCAGCAUCUGAGUUUAUGUUUUAGUUUAUUUUGAUCAGUAAUACUACAUUAAUUACCUAGGAGUAAUAAGAAAAAAAGCUUGCUUAAUAUUUAAAUGUCAUGUUAAUGCAAAUGAAAGCCAAAUGCCCUCAUGCCAUAUAAUAAAAGGGUCAGUUUUGCAUUAGUUCAAAUAAAAAAGAGUGAUUGAGAAUUGAGUCACCACAAGGAACACAGUGGGUUGGGCAUGAUAAACUCAGCAGAAUCUCUAUCGUAGUAGCCAAUAUCAUUAUCUGGGUUUUGAGUGGAGAUCAACAAAAUAGUAUCAUCUAUCACACAAAUUUGUUGAUUUGAAUUUUACUGGUUCAUUGUUUAUUUUAUAAAUUUCUUCGUGGUUUUAAUUGUACAAGAGCUGAUAAGUAUAAGAAUUUAUAUUUAAGUGCAUAGUUUUUACCUGUGUGUAAGUAUUUAACAUAUUAAAAUAAUUUUGGAGAGUUCAUGAGACUUGUUUUCCUUUAAAAAGAAACCACGUCUUACUCAAACUUGCAUAAGCACCACACAACCCAAGUACUUUCUCAGUAGAACUCCAU